GGAUGCGAUCACACUAGCACUAAAGCAGCGGAUCCCAUUAGAACUCCGAAGUUAAGCGUGCUUGCACGAUAGUAGUACUAGGAUGGGUGACCUACUGGCAAGUCCUCGUGUUGCUUUCU
rnacentral:rRNA from 1 species